rnacentral:lncRNA from 1 species
UAUUGAUCAGUGGUUAGAGGGACAUUAGGGUUAUAUACUGUUAUUGAUCAGUGGUUAGAGGGACAUUAGGGUUAUAUACUGUUAUUGAUUAGAGAGACAUUAGGGUUAUAUACUGUUAUUGAUUAGAGGGACAUUAGGGUUAUAUACUGUUAUUGAUUAGAGGGACAUUAGGGUUAUAUACUGUUAUUGAUUAGAGGGACAUUAGGGUUAUAUACUGUUAUUGAUCAGAGAGACAUUAGGGUUAUAUACUGUUAUUGAUUAGAGAGACAUUAGGGUUAUAUACUGUUAUUGAUUAGUGGGACAUUAGGGUUAUAUACUAUUAUUGAUUAGAGAGACAUUAGGGUUAUAUACUGUUAUUGAUUAGAGAGACAUUAGGGUUAUAUACUGUUAUUGAUUAGAGGGACAUUAGGGUUAUAUACUGUUAUUGAUCAGAGGGACAUUAGGGUUAUAUACUGUUAUUGAUCAGUGGUUAGAGGGACAUUAGGGUUAUAUACUGUUAUUGAUUAGAGGGACAUUAGGGUUAUAUACUGUUAUUGAUUAGAGAGACAUUAGGGUUAUAUACUGUUAUUGAUCAGAGAGACAUUAGGGUUAUAUACUGUUAUUGAUUAGAGAGACAUUAGGGUUAUAUACUGUUAUUGAUUAGAGAGACAUUAGGGUUAUAUACUGUUAUUGGUUAGAGGGACAUUAGGGUUAUAUACUGUUAUUGAUCAGUGGGACAUUAGGGUUAUAUACUGUUAUUGAUCAGAGAGACAUUAGGGUUAUAUACUGUUAUUGAUUAGUGGGACAUUAGGGUUAUAUACUGUUAUUGAUUAGAGAGACAUUAGGGUUAUAUACUGUUAUUGAUUAGUGGGACAUUAGGGUUAUAUACUGUUAUUGAUUAGAGAGACAUUAGGGUUAUAUACUGUUAUUGAUUAGAGAGACAUUAGGGUUAUAUACUGUUAUUGAUCAGAGGGACAUUAGGGUUAUAUACUGUUAUUGAUUAGAGGUUAGAGAGACAUUAGGGUUAUAUACUAUUAUUGAUCAGAGAGACAUUAGGGUUAUAUACUGUUAUUGAUUAGAGGGACAUUAGGGUUAUAUACUGUUAUUGAUUAGAGGGACAUUAGGGUUAUAUACUGUUAUUGAUUAGAGGUUAGAGAGACAUUAGGGUUAUAUACUGUUAUUGAUCAGAGAGACAUUAGGGUUAUAUACUGUUAUUGAUUAGAGAGACAUUAGGGUUAUAUACUGUUAUUGAUCAGUGGUUAGAGAGACAUUAGGGUUAUAUACUGUUAUUGAUUAGAGGGACAUUAGGGUUAUAUACUGUUAUUGAUUAGAGAGACAUUAGGGUUAUAUAC